GCUUGAUCAUCUUCUAAUCCAGGCAAAGCUUGAUAUGCUUUACAAGUGUUGAAAUUUAAAGCCUAGACUUGUUGCAUCCCACCUCUUAAGCAGCAUGAGCGCAAGCAUUCUCACCAAAAUGUCGGUGCUCAUCGCAGUUAUGUAAAAGCAAUAAGUGAGAUUCAAAUUCCUUAUAGUGAAAGGGAAGCAGCAAUAGAGCUAAUGAUCACUCUCAGGAUGGAAGGAAAAAAAAGUCUUUUGAGCAGGCAUGAGCAGGC